rnacentral:rRNA from 1 species
UCUGACGAGCACGCCGCGUGAGUGAAGAAGGUUUUCGGAUCGUAAAACUCUGUUGGUAGAGAAGAACGUUGGUGAGAGUGGAAAGCUCAUCAAGUGACGGUAACUACCCAGAAAGGGACGGCUAACUACGUGCCAGCAGCCGCGGUAAUA